UUGCCAGACUCCUACGGGAGGCAGCAGUGGGGAAUAUUGCACAAUGGGGGAAACCCUGAUGCAGCGACGCCGCGUGAGUGAAGAAGUCUUUCGGUAUGUAAAGCUCUAUCAGCAGGGAAGAAGUUGACGGUACCUGGGUAAGAAGCCCCGGCUAACUACGUGCCAGCAGCCGCGGUAAUACGUAGGGGGCAAGCGUUAUCCGGAUUUACUGGGUGUAAAGGGAGCGUAGACGGCAGUGCAAGUCUGAAGUGAAAGCCCCGGGCUUAACCCGGGAAUUGCUUUGGAAACUGUACGGCUGGAGUGCUGGAGAGGUAAGCGGAAUUCCUAGUGUAGCGGUGAAAUGCGUAGAUAUUAGGAGGAACACCAGUGGCGAAGGCGGCUUACUGGACAGUAACUGACGUUGAGGCUCGAAAGCGUGGGGAGCAAACAGGAUUAGAUACCCUAGUAA
rnacentral:rRNA from 1 species